GAUCAUGCUCAGGAUGAACGCUAGCUACAGGCUUAACACAUGCAAGUCGAGGGGCAGCAUGGUCUUAGCUUGCUAAGACUGAUGGCGACCGGCGCACGGGUGAGUAACACGUAUCCAACCUGCCGUCUACUCUUGGACAGCCUUCUGAAAGGAAGAUUAAUACAAGAUGGCAUCAUGAGUCCGCAUGUUCACAUGAUUAAAGGUAUUCCGGUGGACGAUGGGG
rnacentral:rRNA from 1 species